rnacentral:rRNA from 1 species
AUUGAACGCUGGCGGCAGGCCUAACACAUACAAGUCGAGCGGAUGAAGGGAGCUUGCUCCUGGAUUCAGCGGCGGACGGGUGAGUAAUGCCUAGGAAUCUGCCUGGUAGUGGGGGAUAACGUCCGGAAACGGGCGCUAAUACCGCAUACGUCCUGAGGGAGAAAGUGGGGGAUCUUCGGACCUCACGCUAUCAGAUGAGCCUAGGUCGGAUUAGCUAGUUGGUGGGGUAAAGGCCUACCAAGGCGACGAUCCGUAACUGGUCUGAGAGGAUGAUCAGUCACACUGGAACUGAGACACGGUCCAGACUCCUACGGGAGGCAGCAGUGGGGAAUAUUGGACAAUGGGCGAAAGCCUGAUCCAGCCAUGCCGCGUGUGUGAAGAAGGUCUUCGGAUUGUAAAGCACUUUAAGUUGGGAGGAAGGGCAGUAAGUUAAUACCUUGCUGUUUUGACGUUACCAACGGAAUAAGCACCGGCUAACUUCGUG